rnacentral:lncRNA from 1 species
AUGCAUCCCAGAUGCAUGGUCUCAAAACCAUGCUCCCCUUCUGCAGUGGACACGACGAGGGUGAAGAUGCCUUGCCGUGUGCUGGGAUCACAGGUGCUACUACAGAUGGUACAGACGGCCAUCCCUGUCAUCUUGAGUUUGGUUCCCCAGACCUCGUUUGCUGUGGUUUUAGUGGAGGGACUCGUCGCUGGUUUGCCCAUGGAGAGGCUGCCUGUGAAACAGCUGCCGGGAACAAUUAGGGAAACUCAUUCUAUGGGAAACUCCUUCUAUUUUUGUAGGGAAAACAAUGCUGGAGAGAGGGGCCAGGGUUUGCUCCCAGUCUGCAUUGGUAAGAGCUUAAAACAGGAAGGGGGAAAAUGCUGAAGUCCUCUUCUGCUUACCCCGCAGUCUCUGAGUUUUGCCAUUAGUUUCCAAUGAGCCAACACUGGAAACACUCGUAAAACAACUUUUUUUUUCAAGUUUUUCUUUUCUAUUUUCUUUUUUUCAAUAAGUGCCAUCAAUUCCGUGUUUCACACAUGCCGACAUGGAUUACUACUUGCUCACCUGAAAGCAAUCACAUUGGCUAUGGACUGAGCUGCAUGACUGAGAGCCUGCUUUGGCCCCCUUACACAUUUGUUUUUUCUUAUUUUCUGACCUGUUUUUGUGAUAAGCUUAGCUUGUUUAUGGACAUGCAUGAAAUGCAGCAUGUGAUUCUGUUCUCGUGCAUCUUGCUGGCUGUAUUUUAACUCCAUUGGACGUUCCCAUUGAUAGAAUAAACAUCAUUAUUCAUAUAAAUCA